UCAAAACAUCGGUUCCCGUAUGAUCAUUGCAGUUAAGCAACAUCCAGCCUGGUCAGUACCUAGAUGGGUGACCACUUGGGGAUACCAGAUGCUGUAAU